ACAUUGUUCAACGGCCGCGGUAUCCUAACCGUGCGAAGGUAGCGUAAUCACUUGUUCUUUAAAUAAGGACUAGUAUGAAAGGCGCCACGAGGGUCAUACUGUCUCCUUUCUCUAAUCAGUGAAACUAAUCUCCCCGUGAAGAAGCGGGGAUAAAAAUAUAAGACGAGAAGACCCUAUGGAGCUUAAAACAAAUAACACUUGCCCCCUCAACUUCUAAUUUCAGAAAAACUUUCUACCCGAGCAUUAUGGUUAUUAGUUUUCGGUUGGGGUGACCGCGGGGUAAAAAGCAACCCCCGCAAUGAAAGACACUCAUCCACUUAGUUAAGGGCUACAACCCCACACAUCAACAAAUUGACACUAAUUGACCCAACAUGUUGAUCAAUGAACCAAGUUACCCUAGGGAUAACAGCGCAAUCCACUUCAAGAGCCCCUAUCGACAAGUGGGUUUACGACCUCGAUGUUGGAUCAGGGUGUCCUAGUGGUGCAGCCGCUACUAAAGGUUCGUUUGUUCAACGAUUAAAACCCUACGUGAUCUGAGUUCAG
rnacentral:rRNA from 1 species